rnacentral:lncRNA from 1 species
CCGUCUCCACCGGAGCCGGGGCGUGGGGUGUCAGGGACGAGCCGGGGGCGGGGCGUGGGCGGGGCCAGUCGGGCUCGCACCUGGGAGCGGAGGGAUGGAUGCUGCGCUCCUGCGGAGGGCGGGCGAGCCGCCAGGCUCCGGAAACAGGACCCACGCCCCGCCCCGCCCGCCCCGCCCCCGCCCCGCCCGCCCCAGAGGGAGGAGGUCUGCAAGCAAACUCAUCGGACUCCUGCAGAACCCCUUGGGGUGAAGGCGGUGGUGGUAGAAGGGCUGCGCCCCCACCCCGUACCCCUCCCCACCCCCGUCUGUGCGCUGCUUACCGAAUAAGAGGCGCUGUGGCCACGGUUUCAUCUUUUCCCGAAGCCUCGACGUCAGCUGAUAGGAUGGGUGUGAGUUAUAGAGGAUGCAUUUUUGGUUUUUUUUUUUUUGAGGCUUAGAUAAAAUGAAUCGCAGGAUUGCGAAGGUCCUUACAGGUGGGCUGUGUGUGUGUCCCAAACAAGCAAGAAUCAGAAAACGAGGCUACCUACAGCUCAAAACAUUCGUUUGAUUUGUUUCUUCUUUUCACAGCCAGUUCUGCAACCGAGUCCUGUCUAUGUUGCCUUUACAGUGUUUUGCCCCCAAUCUCCUUCCAGUUGCCACGGCCACCAUCCUAACUCAAGACCCCUUGGUUGCUUCUUUGGUUUGUUGUAAUGUCCUCAUACGGUUGUCACCUGUUCGGAUCUGGUCUCUUUACCAACGCUGGGUGCAUAGUUGGGGAAUAACCUCGUGGCUGUGACAGCUCCCAAAGGAAAGCAAACUCGGUGGGAGAAUGACACAGGGUUUGGAAUGUCAGGGAUUAAAUCAGCUGCUCAGCCCUCUCUCACUGUGCCCCAAGUGUAAUUAAAGUCAAAGGAGUAGAGCCGUGGUGGGAGAAAGAGGUAGAGUUAUUUUAUGAUCAUAGAAAAAUAGAGAAUAAAACACAAUCUAAGUACAAACUGUAGUACACAGCCACCUCGCUACUUAAGAACUGUGGUGCCUGUAUCCACACUGACAGCCAAACAAUAUACACAGACUACCCAUGUUCAAAGAUAACACUCUGUGUUUAAUGAUGCAGAAGCCUUUUAGUAGCUUGCUCUUUCUUUCUUUCUUUCUUUCUUUCUUUCUUUCUUUCUUUUUUUGCGAAGGUCUCGUUGUGUAGCUCAAGCUAGCCUGGAACUGGCUAUGUAGACCAGGCUGGCCUCACACCCAUUCCAUGUAAAGAUACGCCUGUGUAGUCUCCCAAGUUCUGAAAUUAAAGGUACUUUAAAGUGGUCAGUGUGCUGGGUGGUGGUGGUGCUUCCUUUAAUCCCAGCACUGGGGAGGCAGGGGCAGGUGGAUCGCUGUGAGUUGGAGGCCAGCCUGGUCUACAAAGUUACACAGAGAACCCUGUCUCGAACCCCCCCCCCAAGAAAAGUGGGGUUUGUAAAACUUAUGUUAACUUUUCUCUGUAUAUCCAUCAGUCAAGCCUUGUCAGGCAAAGAAAAACAAAGAUUCUUGGCUGUUAAAAGGAAAUUUACUAGAGUCCCUUGGCUUCCUUGGGUGGAGGGAACAAUGAAAAACAAAGCACUCUGAGCUUCCUUCCCCCAAACCCCACCCCUUCCAACAAGGUAUUACAUAUUUCCUUCCAAUGGAAGAUGCUAAUUUUAGUAAGAGGAUGGGAAUUGAAAGUUAAAAUACUAUUAACUUCCACACCCUAGAGAGUUACUUUAAACUAAUAGUCUGUGGCUCUGUAUCCAAGCUGGAGUCAACAGAGAGGAAGGAGCCUCAGCUGAGGAAAUGCCUCCAUGAGAUCCAGCUGUAAGGCAUUUUCUCUUUUAGUGAUCAACUCCGGAAGGCCCAGCCUAUGGUGGGUGAUGCCAUCCCUGGGCUGCUGGCCCUGGGUUCUAUAAGAAGGCGGGCUGAGUAAGCCAUGAGAAGCAAGCCAGUAAGCAGUGUCCCUCCAUAGCCUCUGCAUCAGCUUCUGACUCCAGGAUCCUGCCCUGUUUUUGAGUUCCUGUCCUGACUUCCUUCAGUGGUGUGAGAAACUUGCUUUGCAGGCUGGCCUCGAACUCACAGAGAUCUGCCUCCCCGCUUGCAGGUGUGCAGAUAGCAACCUUCAUCGAAAAUGGGAUCCUGGAGUGCAAACUUCUGAUAAUCACUUAGUAUUUCACAGCUGCCCCGAGUAGAAUAAAAGCCUUGAGGUAGACACUUCAAUGUAAUAUAAAGACUUCAGCCUUUUAGAGUCAAAAUAAUUUCAAGUUAGAAAAUCAAAUUUGAAUAGGUUCAGUUUUUUUUUUAAACUGGACAAACUGACUUUAAAUUUCAUAAGAAAAUGGAAAAUGUCAACAAUUGCUAAGACAAUCUUGAAUAAAGUUGAAAGAACCUUUUAA